rnacentral:lncRNA from 1 species
UUCGUGUUGUUUAUUCUUUAGUUUUCUAUGUUGUGUCAUGUGUGCUAUUGUUUGUCUGUUUGUCUUUUUCAUUUUAGCCAUGGCGUUGUCAGUUUGUUUUAGAUUUAUGAGUUUGACUGUCCCUUUGGUAUCUUUCGUCCCUCUUUUACCUUUCUUUUAUCGUUUCUGUUUACAGGCACUUGAUGUUUUUCCUACAUGUAUAUACAUUAGUGUUAUAUUAUAUACCUUAAAGG